AAAAACUUUGGGAAGCAGCUAAAAUACUGUGUUCUUUGUUUCUUCCAUCGAAAUCGAAAAAAGCUAAGAUCUUUGCGUUUUGAAACGAUGGCGGAAGAACAUAAGCAUGAUGAAUCUGUGAUCGCUCCUGAGCCAGCUGUUGAGGUUGUGGAGAGAGAAUCGUUGAUGGAUAAGAUAUCGGAGAAGAUCCAUCACGGUGGUGAUUCUUCUUCGUCUUCUUCAUCUUCUGAUGAUGAAGACGAGAAGAAGAAGACUAAGAAGCCCUCUUCUCCUUCGUCUUCUA
rnacentral:sRNA from 1 species